rnacentral:piRNA from 1 species
AGAUGACUGUAUGAGAAUCCCCU